ensembl:lncRNA
CUUUAAUCUCAUGCCUUUAUGUGAAUACUUUUCAAAUAUAAUCAUAUAUUUGUAUGAAAUACAAACAGAAAUGCUAAUAAUAUUAAUCAUAAAGGAUUUUUAUUUGUGUUUUUCUUCCCAGUAUUUAUUUAGAAAAAUUAUUAACCCAUAUGAUUCCACAUGUUUGCUUGGUCUCAGUAUGCAUCACUGCAUUUCAACAUGUCAGAACAUUUUGCAUGGUCAUGUCACAACAUCAAAUGUAUAAAACCUCCGGCAAGGUGUUUUUAUAGACCCCUUAGAACAACCAGAUAACGACGUGAACAGACUCUUUACACAACACUAUUCCUAAAGAGAACAGCCUAUUUACAUGUAGCGAUAAUUCCAAUUGGGCCUCACAGCCUCCAGUAACCUAAGCCCCGUGUGGUAGUCGUGGAAACUCCUCUCCAGAGCCUCCAUGAAGGAGAUGCCUCUUCUGGUCUUCGGGCAGAUGAUGGAUUUACUGUAGGACUUUGUAUCUUUCAGUGAGUCCAGCGUGCGUUUGUCCAGGAAGCCGCUCCGAGUGACCUCCUCGAGGGAGAUCCUGCUCCGGGUCUCGGGGUCGAUCAGCCCCCCGGUCAGCAGCUGGAACUCCAGGCAGCGCAGGCCUAUGUCUUUAGAGAAGACGCCCUCCUGGACGGCCUGAGCCACAGAGAUCCUCUUCCCCGUCUUGGGCUGGACAACUCCUUGGUAGGCCUGCUCGUACAGCGGGAGCUGCAGGGCGAACGACUGGUCCAGGAGACCUCGGCCCAGCGCCUCCUUCAGCGUGGCCUUCUCGCCGGACGCGGGGUCCAGGAUGCCCCCGGUGCAGACCUGUGCCUCCAGCAGCCUCAGCGCCGUGACGCGGUCCACGAGGUUCUGCUGCACGGCCUGGAAGACUGAGAAGCGCUUCUUCUGCGUGGCGUCCCACAGGCCCGCGAUGGGGCUGUUCACGUCCUCCACCACUCCCAUCCUGGAGUAGAUGAGGUCCACCAGCUCGUAGAUGCUCAGACUCCCACUGCGGUAGCUGGUCAGUUCCGUCGCCUCCAGGUACCUCUGACUUACGGCGGUCUCGAUACAAAUCUGUCUACCGCUUUUGCCGUCCUGUGAGGAUGUGUCGCGUGCCGCCGUUGUUGUCGACACUCGAUUCUUCCACCCAUUCGCCCUCUCGUCGCGACAGGAACAGGUAGGUCAUCUGGCUGAUGUGUUUCCCCUUGUAGGCCUCGUACGCGGACAUCUCUGUGCCCCGGUGGCUGCUGAUGACGGGCACUCUACGGGCUCCAGGGGAGGAUGCGCCGGUCGGACUCGCGUCCCCGAACGGAAGGAGAUAGACGCCGUCGUCAACGUCGUAAACACACGUGUUCAGCAGUUCCCCGUAGUACGCCUUCUGCCUGGUGUCUGGGUUGUAGAACUUUUUGGGAUUGGUGACGGGUUCAUACAAACUCUGCAGGGUGGCUUUGGUCAACAGUCCUCGGUCAACAGCGAUGUCAGCGGGUACUCUGACCCCCAUCUCUGGGACCACCACCCCCCCGGCCGCUAUCUGGACCUCAAGGUAGGAGUUCCCUUUACACCGGUCAACUAGUCUGGCUUCGAUGGCCUUGAGCACAGGCAGCGUCGUGUCCCCGUGGAGGUAGCCGCAAAAUGCUAAAUGCGCCUGUUUUAGUUUGUCUUUAAGAAGUGCGUCUAUGUGCCCGUUUUCUAUGGCAUCCUCGAAUGACUGGGGUUUACCUGCAGCUAAGCUAAUGCUACUACCCGUCGCAGCCUGUGCUUCUAAAAACUCAAUGGCGUUGGCCUUGGCCAAGAUGCCUUUCUCAGCGGCUUCCAAGAAGGAGACAUGUUUCUUACUUGACUCCAGGUAGAGUCCAGAAAUGUAUUUUGGCUGGCUGAGGAACUUGGCAAUAGUCGCUUGAACUUCUUCCACUGUGGUGAGGCCCAUUUCUAACCUACGCAAGACAUCUUGGCUCAACAGCUUAGCUUUGAUCAACUGGUCAAUGCUGAUGCUGCCUUGGAGCCCUGGGAGGUUGACCGAGGUCCAGGUUAUAAGACGCGCCGCACUGUCUUUUGUAUCCGUUGUGUACAUUGAACACUCGAUUUCCUUAUGUAUCGUACGAUAUUCUUUAGCUGGCUUCUUAUCGGACUGCUCCGACAUUCUGUUGGCCACUCUAGAUAACUCGGUGACAGUGUCUUGGCCUCCCAUCAGAGACUUGUAGAUGUUGGUUGCAAUGGUCGACCGACCCUCCGUUUUUCCCUUUGUUUCUUGUGUGACUUGAGGGGCACUGUGCGGGUCUUUCUGUUGGGGUGUGGUCAUUUGACUAGCACUGCUGAAAGUGUUCUUCACAUGCUCAUGGAAUGUGAUGUCCGUUUUGCCGUCUUUGGCAGUAGUAUUUAUACCCUCUUUUAUAUUUCCUUUCUUCACCGUUGAAAUCUGUGAAUAUGACAAAAAUGUAAAUAAAUUAAAUUAUACAUGUCACAAAUGAACCAGUAACAGUAAAGAUGAAAUGGAUACAUGUUUUAAUGAUCUAUACAUUAACAUUGGGAUAUUGUGCAUAAUUUAUGUCCGUUAUACCUCUGAAGAAGCUCUGUUUUUCGUUUCUUCGUCCCCCUCUGGUUCAUGUGUUCCACCUUGGUAUGAGGUGAUUUCCCUCGUCUGGAUAACUGUCCGUUUGGAGAGCAAUGUGGAAGCCAUGUUGUCUUUGGCAGCAGGUUGAUCCACCUCUCUCUUAGUGUGCCCGUCCUUGUGUCUGUUUUCCAUCGUUAUCAGGAACUCGAGCUCCCGAAGCUUUUCCUCGAGGCUCGCCACCUCCUUGACGAAGCAAGCGAUCUGUCCUUUGAGAGAUCUUGCUUCCUCUUCUUUCAUCCUCACCUUUUGCUCGCUCUCCAACAACCUCUGCUUAAAGGGUUCAAUUUCUUUCGAGCAACCACAUUUGCGGCUUUCCAGUUGACUUAUCUUUGACUUAAGUUUUACUUUUUCGUCUUCUAAUAGGGCGAUCUGAGACUGAGCCUUGAGGAGAUCGCGGCUUAGGAUGGCUCUUUCCUGCUGUAGUUUGUCCAUUUCAAUCUUCACCUGGAGAAGCUGUAGUUGAGUUUCUUGCUUCGACUUUUCUGUAUUCUGAUUGAAGGUUUUUCAGUUGAUCCUUGGCUUGAUAUCAUUGUUUGGUGCAAAACAAUCUUUUGCUGCAUUUCAGUCUGCGCUAAGAGCAGCUGUCUUUCAAAGCCUGACUUCUGAAGUUCUAGUUUGCUUUUCAAUUCAUCUAACAUCUUCUUACAGUUGUCCAGCUGCUCUUCCAUCUGUUUGCACCUAACUUUGAGCAGUGAGCCCUCAUUGUGUUUUAGUUUGGCUUCGUCCUGAGCUCUGUCCAGCUUUUCCUUUAACUCCCUGACCUCCGAGCCCAUUGCGCGACUCUUCUCCUGGGCCUCAGCUCUGUCUCUCUGAAGUACUGUUAUCUCCUUCCUCAAGCCCUCAGAGGACGUAUCAUAACCGGAUAAUGUCUGUUUGGCCGUCAGCUUACUAUUCUGAAGCUCGGUCUCCAUCUCGAUUAAUCUAGAGUGUUUCUGCCUUUUGUCCAACGUCUCUUUGGCCAAUUCAUCUUUGGUUCUUUUAAGGUCAAAGUUCAGUUGUUCAAUUUCUAAUUUGAACUUGCUCAGCUUUUGGUCGGCUGCUCUCUUGUCGCCCUGAAGAGUGUUGAUAUCCCUCUUGAGCUGCGCCUCCAUUUUCUCUGAACUGCCGGUUAUCCCUUUAAUAGUCUGCUGACAUUUGAGAAGCUCAGUCUCUAAUAACUUCACUUUGGCUAGAUAGUUCUGACUCUGUGUCGAUUCCCUCUGUAGUUCUGCACUCCUUGUCUUGAGCAGUAUGUUUAAUUCGUUCACUUCUGACUUUAGCUGACAGCUUUUCUGCUGGAACGUAUUUAUCUCUGCCGUUGACGAGUUGAGGUCCGACUUCAGUUUCCUGAUUUCGUUCUGAUAGUUGGUGACGUGCUCUUGCAGCUGAGUGAUAGUCUUUGCCUCCUCGUUGUAGCAGCUGAGUUUGAUCUGAAGCUCAUGCGAGGACUGGGAUUUUUUAAGCAGCUCAUCCUCAAUUAUUUUAACCUGGGACUUGGUUCCCUCUACCUGGGUCUUAUAAAUCUGUACUUGCUGGUCCUUGCUUCCAAGGUCCACCUUUACCUGAUCAAGUUCAGCUUUUACCUGUUUCAUGUUCUUUACCAUCUCCACAUUUACUGUUUUGAACUCCUCAAUUUCCUUCUGUAACUGUGCGGUUAGAUAUGUACUCCUCUCUAACUCGGCUUCCAUAUUCUUGCACUUUUGUUGCAGAACUUGCUCAGCUUUCUUUGUGAUAAAAUUAUCUUCUGUAGCUUUUUGAAGCUGUUCUUUCCAACUCUCUACAUCAGCUUUCGCAGACUUAAUCCUUUGUUCAUAGUGUGCUUUGUCCUGCUGCAACGAAUCUGUGUUAAUCUGAAGACCCUUGAGAUCAUUGUCCAAGGACAAUUUCGUUCUUGUCAACUCACUGCACCUCGCUUUAAGCUGAUCUAUUACUAGCUGUUUGGCAGAUAACUCCUCUUCCAAACUCUGCAUUUUGUCAUCAUACUCCUGCUCCACUGAGUUAAGCCUAGAUAUUUUCCCACGGUUGAUCUUCAACUGCUCUUUAAGGCCUUCUACCUCGGUUGUGUGGAAAACAGUUUUCUGUUCCAGUGAGGACUUCUCCCUCUGAAGGCUCUUGAUCUGGUCCUGGAACAGAUGGAUGGACUUCUUCAUGUCUACUGUUUCCUGUCGGAGCUCCUCUGAUUGCCGUUCCAUGCUGUCCCUCUCCGACUCCAUGUCUCCCCGGAGUUUCUUUAGUUCGGUGUCUCGUUCCUCCAACAACCCUUCGUAGCGCUUUGUGUUUUUCUCCGCUGUGUUUCUCCGUCCGACCUCUGCGUCGAGUUCAGACUUCAGUUUCUCCACCUUUGUUUCUGCUUGCUGUUUACCCUUGGUGAGCCCUUCUAUUUCACGGUGUAGGUCAUCAGACCCAGCAUCUGAACUGGUUACCUGUUCAGUGCUGCAUAUUACAGUUGCUGUCGACUCUAAGACGCUAUCGUUAAAGCUCUUUUUGCGAUCGUCCUCCAGCUUCUGGGAGGUGCUCUCAUCUAUGAUCUUCCUCAUGCUGACGAGACUCUCCUCCAGGGACUUCCGCUUGGCUUCUGAUUGUUGGAUCAACUGUCGCGCUUGAGCCAACUCCUCCUCGAUCCCUGCUUUGCUCUUUGUGGUUUGUUCCAGUUCUGCGACAUAUUGGAAAGUCUUGUCCUCUAGCAUUGAUCUUUCGAGACUGAGAUCCUCUAUCUCUCGUUUUUGACUCUGCACCUCUCCCUCCAUGUCCCCUAGCCGGGUCUGUCUCUCUGUCAGGCUGGCCUCUAGCUCUUGUACCCGUUGUUGGAGUUGGCUAAUCUCCAGCUCACCAGCAGCCUUUUGAAGCUCAAUGUUCUCCGUCGAUUUUGUGCUUUCUGCUCGUUCAAGAGCCUUUAUGCUCUAGAACGCAAAAAAUAAGUUAAUGCGCAAUUCUUGUGUUCAUUCGACAAAAGAACAUUGAGGAGAAGGGUGUGCGGGCAUGGGCAUUCAACCAUCACCAGCAGGCCAGACACCAUGAAGCAGUCCCUCGGGAGUUUUCGUUAUACAAUAUUGUACAAUAGAAGUGAUUGUUUUGAGUUUUGAUGAUGUCUCUGCGUAUUCCUUGAAAACUCCAAAAUCCUGAGGAGACUCUGCUGUGCAGUUGGAAGGAGAAAGAGCAGAGCUUCCUCAUGCAAGCUGGAAAUAUGCGUAGAAACGUUGCGCAAGUCCAUCACAUCUCUGGAUGUGAUGUUUUUUCAAUUUAUGAAAGCAAUAUAGCUUCCUUUUUCAGGAACAUGCUGAUAGAAUUGUGAAUGGUACUGCAGGUCAAGGUAUAAAAUGGAUUGGAUGUAUCACACAUCAGUUCUUUUUUCACAUUUAAAUCUAUUUAUUUAUCUUAAAAAAAUGUUUGCUUUGUUUUAAGUGUAUGUUAUUGAAUCUAAUGUACUUGUUUCCCAUUACAUGCAAUUACAAUUUUACUUACACAGCUGUCAGCCAACCAGUUGCAACUGUAAGAAGAUAUGCAACCCUUUCAAAGGUAAACUUCUAUGUCAUGAAAUGUGUAUGGGAGCAUGACCAUAUGAACUGUGAGUGAAUGGAACGUAUGAAAACUGUAGAAUAAGAAAAUAACAGAAGAAUUCAAAGAAGGGACAGCAGGACAAAAUACAGAAAAACCCUCAGUUCCCCUGAAUUGGCCGUGCUGAAAGCCAUCGUAUGAGCCACUGAUCCGGUAUCAACGUCAAUACGGGAUGCUCUUAUACGGUAAGGAUCCCCACAGACCGGCUCAUUCAACCGUAACAAAGAAAGCAGCCUCACCUCCUCCUCCUCGGCCCGUCUCAGCGUCUCGCUGGCAAACUUCACACACUGGGUCAUGAGCGUGACCAGGGCGGUGUAGCGCGUUCGCAGAUCCAUGAA